rnacentral:rRNA from 1 species
CCUACGGGUGGCAGCAGUGGGGAAUAUUGCGCAAUGCUCGCAAGAGUGACCCAGCGACGCCGCGUGAAUGACGAAGGCCUUAGGGGCGUAAAGUUGUUUCGACAGGGAAGAAAAUGCCUAUAAGUAAAUGGGUAUGUAUUGACGGUACCUGUAUAAGCAGCCCCGGCUAACUCCGUGCCAGCAGCCACGGUAAUACGGAGGAGGCGAGCGUUGUUCGGAUUGACUGGGUGUAAAGAGCACGUAGGCGGUGUUGUAAGUCAUUAGUCAAAGAGUGGAGCUCAACAUUAGUAAGGCUAGUGAUACUAUAGUACUAGAGUAUCAGUGCGGAUGGCAGAAUGUCUGGUGUAGCGGUGAAAUGCUUAGAGAUCA